rnacentral:tRNA from 1 species
UCCCUUGUAGCUGAGCUGGUAAAGAUUCUGCCUGCAACGCAGGAGACCUGGGUUCAGGUCCUUGGUCAGGGAA